GACGAACGCUGGCGGCGUGCUUAACACAUGCAAGUCGAACGGAAAGGCCUCUUUCGGGGGGUACUCGAGUGGCGAACGGGUGAGUAACACGUGAGUAACCUGCCCUUGACUUUGGGAUAACUUCAGGAAACUGGGGCUAAUACCGGAUAGGAGCUCCUGCUGCAUGGUGGGGGUUGGAAAGUUUCGGCGGUUGGGGAUGGACUCGCGGCUUAUCAGCUUGUUGGUGGGGUAGUGGCUUACCAAGGCCUUGACGGGUAGCCGGCCUGAGAGGGUGACCGGCCACAUUGGGACUGAGAUACGGCCCAGACUCCUACGGGAGGCAGCAGUGGGGAAUAUUGCACAAUGGGUGGAAGCCUGAUGCAGCAACGCCGGGUGCGGGAUGACGGCCUUCGGGUUGUAAACCGCUUUCGCUCAUGACGAAGCUUUGUGUGACGGUAGUGGGUAAAGAAGCACCGGCUAACUACGUG
rnacentral:rRNA from 1 species